GACGAACGCUGGCGGCGUGCUUAACACAUGCAAGUCGAACGGUGAAGCGCCUUCCUUUUUGGUGGGUGUGGAUGAGUGGCGAACGGGUGAGUAGCACGUGAGUAACCUGCCCCCUUCUUCUGGAUAACCGCAUGAAAGUGUGGCUAAUACGGGAUAUUCUGGGUCUGUCGCAUGAUGGGUCUGGGAAAGAUAUUGUUUCGGUGGGGGAUGGGCUCGCGGCCUAUCAGCUUGUUGGUGGGGUGAUGGCCUACCAAGGCGGUGACGGGUAGCCGGCCUGAGAGGGUGGACGGUCACACUGGGACUGAGACACGGCCCAGACUCCGACGGGAGGCAGCAGUGGGGAAUAGUGCACAAUGGGCGCAAGCCUGAUGCAGCGACGCCGCGUGAGGGAUGGAGGCCUGCGGGUUGUGAACCUCUUUCGCCAGUGAAGCAGGCCUGCCUCGUUUGUGGGUGGGUUGACGGUAGCUGGAGAAGAAGCGCCGGCUAACUACGUG
rnacentral:rRNA from 1 species